rnacentral:rRNA from 1 species
UACGAAGGGGGCUAGCGUUGCUCGGAAUUACUGGGCGUAAAGCGCACGUAGGCGGAUUGUUAAGUCGGGGGUGAAAUCCUGGAGCUCAACUCCAGAACCGCCUUCGAUACUGGCGAUCUCGAGUUCGGGAGAGGUGAGUGGAACUGCGAGUGUAGAGGUGAAAUUCGUAGAUAUUCGCAAGAACACCAGUGGCGAAGGCGGCUCACUGGCCCGGUACUGACGCUGAGGUGCGAAAGCGUGGGGAGCAAACAGG